rnacentral:rRNA from 1 species
GGGUUGUGAGGUUAAGCGACUAAGCGUACACGGUGGAUGCCCUGGCAGUCAGAGGCGAUGAAGGACGUGCUAAUCUGCGAUAAGCGUCGGUGAGGUGAUAUGAACCGUUAUAACCGGCGAUUUCCGAAUGGGGAAACCCAGUGUGUUUCGACACACUAUCAUUAACUGAAUCCAUAGGUUAAUGAGGCGAACCGGGGGAACUGAAACAUCUAAGUACCCCGAGGAAAAGAAAUCAACCGAGAUUCCCCCAGUAGCGGCGAGCGAACGGGGAGGAGCCCAGAGCCUGAAUCAGUGUGUGUGUUAGUGGAAGCGUCUGGAAAGGCGCGCGAUACAGGGUGACAGCCCCGUACACAAAAAUGCACAUACUGUGAGCUCGAUGAGUAGGGCGGGACACGUGGUAUCCUGUCUGAAUAUGGGGGGACCAUCCUCCAAGGCUAAAUACUCCUGACUGACCGAUAGUGAACCAGUACCGUGAGGGAAAGGCGAAAAGAACCCCGGCGAGGGGAGUGAAAAAGAACCUGAAACCGUGUACGUACAAGCAGUGGGAGCCUCUUAAUGGGGUGACUGCGUACCUUUUGUAUAAUGGGUCAGCGACUUAUAUUCUGUAGCAAGGUUAACCGAAUAGGGGAGCCGAAGGGAAACCGAGUCUUAACUGGGCGUUAAGUUGCAGGGUAUAGACCCGAAACCCGGUGAUCUAGCCAUGGGCAGGUUGAAGGUUGGGUAACACUAACUGGAGGACCGAACCGACUAAUGUUGAAAAAUUAGCGGAUGACUUGUGGCUGGGGGUGAAAGGCCAAUCAAACCGGGAGAUAGCUGGUUCUCCCCGAAAGCUAUUUAGGUAGCGCCUCGUGAAUUCAUCUCCGGGGGUAGAGCACUGUUUCGGCAAGGGGGUCAUCCCGACUUACCAACCCGAUGCAAACUGCGAAUACCGGAGAAUGUUAUCACGGGAGACACACGGCGGGUGCUAACGUCCGUCGUGAAGAGGGAAACAACCCAGACCGCCAGCUAAGGUCCCAAAGUCAUGGUUAAGUGGGAAACGAUGUGGGAAGGCCCAGACAGCCAGGAUGUUGGCUUAGAAGCAGCCAUCAUUUAAAGAAAGCGUAAUAGCUCACUGGUCGAGUCGGCCUGCGCGGAAGAUGUAACGGGGCUAAACCAUGCACCGAAGCUGCGGCAGCGACACUAUGUGUUGUUGGGUAGGGGAGCGUUCUGUAAGCCUGUGAAGGUGGCCUGUGAGGGUUGCUGGAGGUAUCAGAAGUGCGAAUGCUGACAUAAGUAACGAUAAAGCGGGUGAAAAGCCCGCUCGCCGGAAGACCAAGGGUUCCUGUCCAACGUUAAUCGGGGCAGGGUGAGUCGACCCCUAAGGCGAGGCCGAAAGGCGUAGUCGAUGGGAAACAGGUUAAUAUUCCUGUACUUGGUGUUACUGCGAAGGGGGGACGGAGAAGGCUAUGUUGGCCGGGCGACGGUUGUCCCGGUUUAAGCGUGUAGGCUGGUUUUCCAGGCAAAUCCGGAAAAUCAAGGCUGAGGCGUGAUGACGAGGCACUACGGUGCUGAAGCGACAAAUGCCCUGCUUCCAGGAAAAGCCUCUAAGCAUCAGGUAACAUUAAAUCGUACCCCAAACCGACACAGGUGGUCAGGUAGAGAAUACCAAGGCGCUUGAGAGAACUCGGGUGAAGGAACUAGGCAAAAUGGUGCCGUAACUUCGGGAGAAGGCACGCUGAUAUGUAGGUGAAGCGACUUGCUCGUGGAGCUGAAAUCAGUCGAAGAUACCAGCUGGCUGCAACUGUUUAUUAAAAACACAGCACUGUGCAAACACGAAAGUGGACGUAUACGGUGUGACGCCUGCCCGGUGCCGGAAGGUUAAUUGAUGGGGUUAGCGGCAACGCGAAGCUCUUGAUCGAAGCCCCGGUAAACGGCGGCCGUAACUAUAACGGUCCUAAGGUAGCGAAAUUCCUUGUCGGGUAAGUUCCGACCUGCACGAAUGGCGUAAUGAUGGCCAGGCUGUCUCCACCCGAGACUCAGUGAAAUUGAACUCGCUGUGAAGAUGCAGUGUACCCGCGGCAAGACGGAAAGACCCCGUGAACCUUUACUAUAGCUUGACACUGAACAUUGAGCCUUGAUGUGUAGGAUAGGUGGGAGGCUUUGAAGUGUGGACGCCAGUCUGCAUGGAGCCGACCUUGAAAUACCACCCUUUAAUGUUUGAUGUUCUAACGUGGGCCCCUUACCGGGGUUGCGGACAGUGUCUGGUGGGUAGUUUGACUGGGGCGGUCUCCUCCUAAAGAGUAACGGAGGAGCACGAAGGUUGGCUAAUCCUGGUCGGACAUCAGGAGGUUAGUGCAAUGGCAUAAGCCAGCUUGACUGCGAGCGUGACGGCGCGAGCAGGUGCGAAAGCAGGUCAUAGUGAUCCGGUGGUUCUGAAUGGAAGGGCCAUCGCUCAACGGAUAAAAGGUACUCCGGGGAUAACAGGCUGAUACCGCCCAAGAGUUCAUAUCGACGGCGGUGUUUGGCACCUCGAUGUCGGCUCAUCACAUCCUGGGGCUGAAGUAGGUCCCAAGGGUAUGGCUGUUCGCCAUUUAAAGUGGUACGCGAGCUGGGUUUAGAACGUCGUGAGACAGUUCGGUCCCUAUCUGCCGUGGGCGCUGGAGAACUGAGGGGGGCUGCUCCUAGUACGAGAGGACCGGAGUGGACGCAUCACUGGUGUUCGGGUUGUCAUGCCAAUGGCACUGCCCGGUAGCUAAAUGCGGAAGAGAUAAGUGCUGAAAGCAUCUAAGCACGAAACUUGCCCCGAGAUGAGUUCUCCCUGACCCUUUAAGGGUCCUGAAGGAACGUUGAAGACGACGACGUUGAUAGGCCGGGUGUGU